UACGGAGGGGGCUAGCGUUGUUCGGAAUUACUGGGCGUAAAGCGCACGUAGGCGGCUUUGUAAGUUAGAGGUGAAAGCCCGGGGCUCAACUCCGGAAUUGCCUUUAAGACUGCAUCGCUAGAAUUGUGGAGAGGUAAGUGGAAUUCCGAGUGUAGAGGUGAAAUUCGUAGAUAUUCGGAAGAACACCGGUGGCGAAGGCGGCUCACUGGCUCGUAACUGACGCUCAUGCACGACAGCGUGGGGAUCAAACGGG
rnacentral:rRNA from 1 species